GAUGAACGCUGGCGGCGUGCCUAAUACAUGCAAGUCGAGCGAACGGACGAGAAGCUUGCUUCUCUGAUGUUAGCGGCGGACGGGUGAGUAACACGUGGAUAACCUACCUAUAAGACUGGGAUAACUUCGGGAAACCGGAGCUAAUACCGGAUAAUAUUUUGAACCGCAUGGUUCAAAAGUGAAAGACGGUCUUGCUGUCACUUAUAGAUGGAUCCGCGCUGCAUUAGCUAGUUGGUAAGGUAACGGCUUACCAAGGAAACGAUGCAUAGCCGACCUGAGAGGGUGAUCGGACACACUGGAAGUGAGACACGGUCCAAACUCCUACGGGAGGCAGCAGUAGGGAAUCUUCCGCAAUGGGCGAAAGCCUGACGGAGCAACGCCGCGUGAGUGAUGAAGGUCUUCGGAUCGUAAAACUCUGUUAUUAGGGAAGAACAUAUGUGUAAGUAACUGUGCACAUCUUGACGGUACCUAAUCAGAAAGCCACGGCUAACUACGUG
rnacentral:rRNA from 1 species